UAUAACGUAUACAAGACCAUUGCACAUAAGUUAAUUGGAAGUUAAGUAAUCUGGAGCAAAAUUUAUACUACCAUUUCUGGGGCUGGUAAAUAGGAGCAGUGGCGGAUCUAGGAAAGCAGUUUUGAAUUGGAUAAAAAAUGGGAAUAUAACUAUGGACUUUUACGAUCUCGAAGGGACGAAGGUGCUGUUUCGUUUGUCGUUUGAGGGACUGCUUGAGACCAUUUGACGAGUUCAUGUGUGUUCUUUUAUUAGUAUAGAAUAAUGUUUGAUCUGUUUUUAAUAACCAUCGUAUUGUUAUA